CGGGGUGAGUAACGCGUGGGUAACCUGCCUUGUACUGGGUGACAACAGUUAGAAAUGACUGCUAAUACCGCAUAAGCGCACAGUAUCGCAUGAUACAGUGUGAAAAACUCCGGUGGUACAAGAUGGACCCGCGUCUGAUUAGCUAGUUGGUAAGGUAAGGGCUUACCAAGGCGACGAUCAGUAGCCGACCUGAGAGGGUGACCGGCCACAUUGGGACUGAGACACGGCCCAA
rnacentral:rRNA from 1 species